UACGGAGGGUGCAAGCGUUAUCCGGAUUCACUGGGUUUAAAGGGCGCGUAGGUGGGCAGGUAAGUCAGUGGUGAAAUCUCCGGGCUUAACCCGGAAACUGCCGUUGAUACUAUCUGACUUGAAUAUCGUGGAGAUGAGCGGAAUAUGUCAUGUAGCGGUGAAAUGCUUAGAUAUGACAAAGAACACCGAUUGCGAAGGCAGCUCGUUACACUGUUAUUGACGCUGAGGCGCGAAAGCGUGGGGAUCAAACAGG
rnacentral:rRNA from 1 species